GAGUUCAUUGUGCUGUUAUGGUCCUUGAACUAUAGAGGGCAGUAAGACGGUAUACGUGUAUUAAGCACUUCGAGAUGGUUCCUCCUAGACGUUGUCUUCUUGGGGCUUAUUCAGUUGGAUCUACUGAACUUCCUGAUAUUCUUCAGCUUUACUGAGCACCAGCUUCGUGGGUUCCGGGGUAGAGGAUGUGAUUUCUUAUCAUUUUCCAAAUCGUUAAUCGCUCAAGGUUGUUGUCAAAUUAUUUGGAAGCAUGCCCAAAUCAACACUACAAAUAAACUUUACAGAUAAAUAUGUGGAAUAUGCAAAAAUAUUUAAAGUUACUCAGUCGAUCUGAUUUGAAAUUUGCUUCGUUUAAUCCCUCAAAUCGUUCCACGGUCCCCUUCAGAACAUAGAAUUUUACACAGCAAGUUGCUCUCUUCAUUUAUACAGGUCAGCCACAAACUUUCGAUAACAGUUGACUGUUUUCAUGACAAGACAUAAAAGUGUGGGCGGAUCGAUGUAAGUAUCUGCACAACUCCGCAAUCGUCCCUCCCCCAACCUAACCGAGGGAUUAAACCUGACUUCUUUUGAGUGGAUUUGUUACGACUUGACUGCUGUUGGUUCAGGGGAGGGACAGCCACAAACCUUGGAUAACAUAGGUUAGCCUUCAAACAUACAACUGUGGGCAAAUCAAUGCAAGUAUUUGGACAACUACGCUCCGGACUUGCUAUCAGUUGCCUGUUGUUGGGCUAAGGGAAGGGCAUAGAUGCGCAAUUGCUCAGAUAUUGACUUUUAUCUGUGUUGGCGAAGUGCCACGAAGUCUCCGUUGGUUUAAAGCACAAUUAGGAUAUGGGAUUUGUCGAGCACUAUACUGAGGGAAGGUAUGGAGCAGUUGUGCAUUAGUCUCUACCUCCCACUGUUGUGACCUGGGUUUGAUUCCUAAAACUGGC